GCGGACAUAGCUCAAUGGCAGAGCGCCGGCCUGAACCCCCGGAGAUACUGGUUCGAUUCCAGUUGUCCACACCA
rnacentral:tRNA from 1 species